GACGAACGCUGGCGGCGUGCCUAACACAUGCAAGUCGAACGGGGAGUUAGUAAUAACUCCUAGUGGCGAACGGGUGAGUAACGCGUAGAUAACCUGCCUCUAAACUGGGGACAACACCGCGAAAGUGGUGCUAAUACCGAAUGUGGUAUCUUGGUCGCAUGACUGAGAUAAGAAAGAUGGCCUCUGAAUAUGCUAUCGAUUAGAGAUGGGUCUGCGUCUGAUUAGCUAGUUGGUGAGGUAACGGCACACCAAGGCGACGAUCAGUAGCCGGUCUGCGAGGAUGAACGGCCAAACUGGGACUGAGACACGGCCCAGACUCCUACGGGAGGCAGCAGUGGGGAAUCUUCCGCAAUGGACGAAAGUCUGACGGAGCAACGCCGCGUGAGUGAAGAAGGUCUUCGGAUUGUAAAGCUCUGUCGUUUGGGACGAACGUAUUCUAUGUGAAUAAUGUAGAGUAAUGACGGUACCAAAGGAGGAAGCCACGGCUAACUACGUGCCGGCCGCCGCAGUAAUAC
rnacentral:rRNA from 1 species